ensembl:lncRNA
GACCCCUCUGUGAGCCUGCAUGUGUGCCUGUUUGUUGAGUGUGUGAAUGUGUUGGUGUGGGUGCAUAUGUGCCUGUGCCUGUGUAUGUGUGUGUGUGUGUGCAUGACAGUGAGUGUGUCUAAGUAAGUGUGUGUGUGUGUGUGUAUGCUGGAGUACCCUGCCUCGGCCUCGGACCUGAGGUCAUCUCUGAGGGCGCUUCACCAGGACAUGGAACAGCUGAGGAGUGCAAACGCCACACUGAGGAAAGACAACAGCUCACUGAGAGAACAGCUCAACAGAGGGACGGAGGGUAACCGUGGGAGAGCGGAGGGGCGUGGCGGCCUGCGGCCCAGCUGUGAUGCGGAUCUGGCCCGAGCCCUGAAGGUGUUCUACCACAGCAUGACCUCAGUCAGGGCCCAGCUCCAGAGACUACGCCGACACAGACCCAGCG